UAGGGAAUCUUCCACAAUGGACGAAAGUACUGAUGGAGCAACGCCGCGUGAGUGAAGAAGGUCUUCGGAUCGUAAAGCUCUGUUGUUGGUGAAGAAGGAUAGGGGCAGUAACUGGUCUUUAUUUGACGGUAAUCAACCAGAAAGUCACGGCUAACUACGUGCCAC
rnacentral:rRNA from 1 species